rnacentral:tRNA from 1 species
GCCUAGGUGGCUCAGUCGGUUAGGUGUCUGACUUUGGCUCAGGUCAUGAUCUCACAGUUUGUGGUGUGGGUUCGAGCCCCACAUUGGGUU